rnacentral:rRNA from 1 species
UACGUAGGUGGCGAGCGUUGUCCGGAUUUACUGGGCGUAAAGAGCGCGCAGGCGGCUGGUCAAGUCCGAUGUGAAAGCUCCCGGCUUAACUGGGAAAUUGCAUCGGAAACUGAUCGGCUGGAAGGUGGGAGAGGGUAGCGGAAUUCCCGGUGUAGUGGUGAAAUGCGUAGAUAUCUGGAGGAACACCGGUGGCGAAGGCGGCAUCCUGGACCAAUAUUGACGCUGAGGAGCGAAAGCCAGGGGAGCAAACGGG